UACGGGGGGGGCAAGCGUUGUUCGGAAUUACUGGGCGUAAAGGGCGCGUAAGCGGCCUUCUAAGUCAGACGUGAAAUCCCUCGGCUCAACCGAGGAACUGCGUCUGAUACUGGAAGGCUUGAAUCCGGGAGAGGGAUGUGGAAUUCCAGGUGUAGCGGUGAAAUGCGUAGAUAUCUGGAGGAACACCGGUGGCGAAGGCGGCAUCCUGGACCGGUAUUGACGCUGAGGAGCGAAAGCGUGGGGAGCGAACAGG
rnacentral:rRNA from 1 species